AUUGAACGCUGGCGGCAGGCCUAACACAUGCAAGUCGCACGAGUGGCGGACGGGUGAGUAAUGUCUGGGAAACUGCCUGGUGGAGGGGGAUAACUACUGGAAACGGUAGCUAAUACCGCAUACCAUCAGAUGUGCCCAGAUGGGAUUAGCUAUUUGGUGGGGUAACGGCUCACCAAGGCGACGAUCCCUAGCUGGUCUGAGAGGAUGACCAGCCACACUGGAAGUGAGGCACGGUUCAGACUCCUACGGGAGGCAGAAGUGGGCAAUAUUGCACAAUGGGCGCAAGCCUGAUGCAGCCAUUCCGAGUGUUUGAAGAAGGCCUUCGGGUUGUAAAGUACUUUCAGCGGGGAGGCGUUACCCGCAGAAGAAGCACCGGCUAACUCCGUGCCAGCAGCCGCGGUAAUAC
rnacentral:rRNA from 1 species